CGGUUCGGUAAAUCUCUGGGUAAAUCGUUGGGCUUAACUCAACGAAUUCUGGGGAGACUGCCGAACUUGGGACCGGGAGAGGUCGGAGGUACUCCAGGGGUAGGGGUGAAAUCCUGUAAUCCUUGGGGGACCACCGGUGGCGAAAGCGUCCGACCAGAACGGGUCCGACGGUAAGGGACGAAGCCCUGGGGCGCGAACCGGAUUAGAUACCCGGGUAGUCCAGGGUGUAAACGCUGUGCGCUUGGUGUUGGGGGUCCCACGAGGGCAUCCAGUGCCGGAGAGAAGUUGUUAAGCGCACCGCCUGGGGA
rnacentral:rRNA from 1 species